GGCCCCUUAGCUCAGUGGUUAGAGCAGGCGACUCAUAAUCGCUUGGUCACUGGUUCAAGUCCAGUAGGGGCCACCA
rnacentral:tRNA from 49 species